CUGAAGGUAAACGGCACAAAAGUUGUGGGAUGUCGCCUAGAAGGACUGAUGAACGGAAAACAAAACAUAGGAAGCGCUCAAGGUCAAGGUCGACAGAACACAAGUAUCACUCGAGUGAUAAUGGUGUGCAGGAAACUAAGCAUGAGAAUGUGAAACAUCUGAAGGAAAGACCCACUGAAUCAGAUGAUUCCUCCAUGGAACCUGGUCCUAAGGACUUAAAUGAUUCAGAAAAUGAUGAUGGCCAUAUGGAAAUCAAUAAAAGGGAUGAGCGUGACUAUGAGAGAACCGAGGCUACUGUGACAGAACUAAACCUUACCAAGAAACGUGAACUAGUUUGAAAUGCUGUCACCAAAGGCAAUGGUAUUUAUUUUGUGUAAUGGAGGAUUGCUAAUGCAUCAAAAGCAACCUGUACUUUGAAGUAACUCGGUUUGAAGUUUAGGCUUGUGUGGAAAGGGCUGCGAAAAGAGGAAGAUCUGGGUUUCUCUUGGAAGAUCCUCAAUUUCUUUUCUGCUCCCAAAUAUUAGGAUGAUAUGUGGCUCUCUUGUGAUAAUUACCUUUUUUUUUUCCCUUCCUUCUUCUCCUGAUUGCAGGUUGUUGAUGGAGUGGAGUUGCUGUAUUCUGAAGCUAUCUUGCUAUCAUAUUUCAGGAAGUCCUGUGCCUAUUUAAAUCAACUGAGCUAUAAUUUAUGGAACUACUGUAUGAGCUUGAUCUAAGCUGAUCUCUUACCUUCAUCAGUAGGUAGUGAGUUUGUUCAAUGCUGUCUCUGUUUAAGGAUUUUCUCUUUUUAAGGAUACUGGUGACUCAUUUAAUUGUGUUACUACUGAACUUUGUCCUGCAUCUCUUUCCUCUUGAAUGGUAUUUGCUUGUCCUUUAGGAAAUCUGUGGUUAGAGGAACCAGCCACCUAUCUUUAAACUGUUUCAAAACAUUAGAACUCUUAGCUGUUGUGAGUUUUUGUUCCCCUUCUUUUUUCGUUGGUGAAGUAUACAGUUUGGAAUAAGGAGAACUAUAGUCUGCACGGUAGGAAUUAAUCUAUUAUUUUUAUUACAGAAUAUUUGUUUACUUGUGGGGAGAUAGGUCAUCUUACACCUCUUUCCCUUUGUUCUUUUUUAUUGGAUAUAUUUUUCUAUUUUCUUCUUGAAUUUGUUAUUGAUAAGCAGCGGGCAGAGCUCUAUGUUAAUAGGGGCUUUUGGGCAAUAAUAGUUCAUUUUAGAUUUGCAUUUGAUGGUUUUGGUGGGCCUGUUACAUUUCAAGAACAUGCAGGUCCUCAAGCUGGUAUCAAGUGGUGCUUUACUGAUCAAUUUGGCGAGAUUGUGUUAUCUGGUUGUGUAUGAAGGUAUGCAAUCAUGGAUUCUGGUGGUCUAGUGGCAGGAGCUUUUGCUGUUAAUUUUGAUGAUAGAUUGUUCACUGAUUUUUGUUGGUCCAAUUUUGAUUGAAGUCCAAUUUUGGUUGAAGAUGAAGUUUGUUUCUGUACUUGAUACUUUGUAAUGCUCCUUUCCUCAUGUUUCUUUUGUCUUUUCUUUUUUUUUGGUUUUUUUUUUUUUUGGGGGAAGAGGGGGGGGGGGUUGGGUUUCCCCCUUCCCUUUUCUAUCUUCUUUCCUCCUUCCCUGUUUCUUCUCUAUAUUCCUUGGAAUGCUUGGUUAGGUAAUUUAUCAUUGACUCGAAAAGGAGGUUGCUGAGAUGGUUAGCAACAUAGCUUCCAGCUUUUCUCCCUGUGAAGUGAUCACAUUGGCCAACUUAAAGGGGCUGAGUUUCGUGGUGAAACUCUGUGUGCGCAGGUAAUUAGUUGUCUUAGACUGUUAUCCAAUAUUGUCUUCCUUGGAGGGAAAUGAAGUUAGCUACCCUAGGGCACGGAGAUUACUCUUGCUAAAGAUACCUAUCACUAGACAAGUAGUCUAACCCUCAGAGCAGCAGAUAGCUUGUUUGGUACACGAACCAUCUAGUUUAAUGAUAGGUAUAUUACAUUAGUUUCAUGUUGCUGAUGUUUAAUUUUGGAGUACAUUGAUGAUCAUUGCUCGAUCUGUCUAUAUCCAUGAUUGAGUGUUCACUUAUAUGCGGUCUGUGUGUACGCGUACGGAUGGGGAAAAUUGUGAUUAAGCUGAAGCUCGUGAGCCAGUUGGAUGAAGUUCAGAUCACCUGGAACAAACCUAAUGUCACAACAAUCUAAUUUGUCCUUAAACUUCAAUAUUCUCACAUAUUAGUUAAUUUGUUUUGGAUAGGUAAACUUUAUUAAUUGAAAUCUAAUAGAACACACCCUAUAGUUAAUUGCUUGAUAGCUAAUGCUUAUGUUAUUUUCAUGUUGUCAAUGUCUGUUUCUUUCCUGCUGCACUCCUCUAAAAAUAUUCUGAAUUCUUAACUAUAUUGGAUACGGUGGUGUUCAUUCAACAUGUACUUCCACACGAGUACUUCACAGGAAUUGUUGCCAACAAGGGUUGGCUCCAGUCACAUUUCUUGGACAUAUGCAUUCUUUGUUGGUGAGAGAUUUGUACGAACUGCUGGCUUGAAGGUUGGGCAACCUCGCAACUUGCUUCCUAAACUUUUAUUCUUAACAAGAUUUUUUUUUAAAAAAAAAAGACUAGGUAAAGGGAUUUUUUUUGGUGGCUUCAUAUUAUUGAUAAAACAAGUGAUUUGGGUAAUAUCGUGGAAAUGUGGAAACCACAAUACUGAUGUAAAGGCGAGAAAAAAAGUUGCUGCGAAAUAAAAUAUAGCUCCGAGAUUGAAUUCUUAUAAUCUAGACUUCAACAAUGGCGGUUUCAUUGUACGCCAUUAUGUUCAAAAAGUCAUUGAUCACUGUAUAAAGUUAACGAGGAAACUUUGUGGACGGUCCAUAAAAACGAUUGCUUGUGUAUGAUUUUAGCCAAUCAACUAUAAACUAUCACAAAGAAGCCUUGAAUUAAAAGAAAUGAUCAAUUUAAGGACUUUUAUCAAUUUUGGCCGUUAGAGGUGACAAAAUUAGGGGUAAAACCGAUCAAACGAAAAAAAAAUUAAUAGCUUAAAAGUCCUCAUUCAUUAAAUUAGGGUUAGAAAAGGUAGAAGAUGAAAGAAAAGGAGGCUUUAACAAGCUAUUUGUUUUGCUGGAAUAAGAGGGCAAGGAAAGGAAAGGAAAGGAAAUGGAGGGGUGUAUGAUUUUUGAUGUUUGGGAUUGGUCUUUGAAGAGAGAGAGGAAAUGAUUGGGAGGGAAGAGGAUUUAGUUAUUUUUUGUCAGCUUACUUUUGGUCUAAAAGUGGGUGAAAAUGGAGGGAAAGGACAUUAAGAUUAAUGAAAAUUUUAAAAAUUUUUAAAAAGCCUAUUAUAUGUUUAUAAAUUAAACUUUUAAAUUAUAGGUAAAAACUUAACAAACAGAUGGAUUAGAAAUGUACUAUGGUGUGUGCUUCAUAGGUUCGAGACAAGGGGGAAAAUACCCUGAAAGAAAGACCUUUACGGGAACAUCAACGUAGUGAAAGUAGACAGCGUUUGGGACGAAAAUAUAAUUAUGUUAUGUGACCUUUAACUAAUUUGUAAGACUCUUAUGGGACCUUCUUCUCUUCUUCUUUUUUUUUUUUUUUUUUUUGUCAAUUUGUCAAAAAAUGAGAAGUUUUCCACCCACUUCCACUUGUCCAUUUCAAAACUCCCCAUGAGUGAUGCCAAGAUGUUCACUCUUGAGCUAAAUAUUAUAAUUAUUACAACAUGUGGGUGUUUUAGAAGCCAAUUGUUAAUUUUUUUUUGUUCACAUUAACAUUUAGAAGAGAUUUACAUAGAGGUGGCAAUUUUUCCCAAGUCCCAAUGGGUUACCCAUGCCCAUGGGGACUUUGGGCGGGAUGGGUACUGAAAUUUGAUAUUGGGUUUAAAAUGAGACAAAUCCCAAUUGUACCCAUUAAUUGAUGGGAAAUCUUGGGAACUACUUGGUACCCAUUGGGCUCAAAUAGCAAGGGCUCCGUUUGGAUUAGUUAUUUUUGGGGGGUAUUUUUGAAAUAUUUUAUUGUAGUAGUGUAUAUGAAAAAUUUUUACUAUAAAUUUUUUUUUGAAAUAUUUGAUAUACUAAUAUAGAUGGGAUAUUUUUUGAAUUAUUGUAUAUUACUGUAAUAUUGUAUUUGAAAAACUUAUUUUUUGAAAAAAGCCAAUCCAAACGGAGUCUUAGAUUCAAAAAUUAUCUUUAACAAUUUUUAUAGUCAUACUAACGAAUAUAAUCUAGUAGUCUUCCUAGUCAUUAUCCACAAGAAUUUCCAGCAUUUCAGUCAAUUUAGACCUGUGGAUGUGAUUAAACCCAUUUCACUAACUCAGGCCUCUACAAAUACAUUAGUGUAGUUCUAAAAGGUAUAUAUUCAGAAUAAAUCUUCACUUGAAAAAUUUUAGUUCCAAUAUCGAGAACAUAUGCCUACAAUGAUCCAAGUUAAAACAACAGGAAACACUAAUAAUAUUAAAGAACCAAAAAAGAAAAAGGCCUUGAGCAUUGAUUUGUUUUUCCUUUCCACCAUUUUCCAAUCUCGAUGAGACAAUUCUUCAAAAACAUACAUAAACACCAAAUUUGCAAGAAUACCUGAGUAUUGGCUCCAGUGAUAGCCUGCUUUUUAUUUGUAAUCUAGAAAGCAGUUUUGAAACGAUCAAUUCCCUUUGCAAUAUAAUUUGUGGUAGGGUUUGUACCAAGGGGAACAUUUCUUGAUAAAAUGAAAUAAAAUCCUCGGCAGUAUUUAAUUCCUGCAUUUGUCAAAAAAAAAAAGACAACAAUAUCAGCAGAAUUUAAAUGUGAGAUGGAAGUGUACAAAUUUUUGCUAUCUCAAAAAAGGUAUAAUCAUAUGAAGUUGGAUAGAAAGGACAAAACAAACAGCAAUCUAGAAAUAUACAAGACACAUAAUAAAUUGCUGACAAGUACACCCAGACAGAAGCAGACAGACCAGCCAUGCCAUACAUUAGAUCCAUAACCUUGUGGAUAGUUUCCAGCACAGUAACAUAGAGGCUGAAAACCAAUAUGGAACAAUGCCAAGAAUCUUCUUUAGACCUUCCUGCCUAGGCAAAAAUACCAAAGGAAGAAAACAAGAACUUCCAGAAAAUAUUCAAAACAACCCUCGCUAAACAUGAUUCUGAUCAUGUCACCUUCAUAAAUUACUUAUCCUAACACAAACUCCUUUGCCUUGAAAACAUUCUUUGGUGCAUUAGAAGUAAUAGCACUUCCUACUUCAAAAGGAUGCCAUUGAUUUACUCCUCCUACCUCAAGCAAGAUAUGGACCACACCUUCAUUUAUUUCACAUUAACUUUGUAGAUUAAAGACAGUGCCAAAACUACUAAAACUAAUCUGCCUGUAUAUGCCAGUAGAUUAGUCCACAAAGCCAGAAGGGUCAUCCUCAUCUAGUCACUGUUACAUCAAAACCACCAAGAUUCUACACAGCAUCAUCAACAUCUCCAAAGCACAUUGUCCAGCACCGCAAAACCCCCUGAAAAAUCCCCCUUACCAAUUGAAAUUCCCAAACUAACACACUCAAAAUAAAAAUAAUUUUCUAGCUUCUGAAUAAAAAAUGAACUUUUUGAAAGAUAUAUGGCAGAAAAAAAGAAAGCCACAACUAGAUUCCAUGUAUUGCUUAUAUUGCACAAAUGGCUUUCUGAAUCCUUUAAAAACAUAAGCAGGCACCUAUAACUGAUGUUUAAAACCAAAUAAGUCGGAACAAAGCAGAUGAAAAAGCUUUUCUUGAAAUGCUACCCACUUUUCAUGUAAGCUUAGCAGUUUCUCCCGAUGUGCAGACAUCAAAUUCCAAAACCCAAUAAAAUAUGUCUCAUAUUACUUUAAUGUUUCCUACUUGUCGUCUAAAAAUGAAAUCUUUAUCCUAAAAGAACAGCCAAAAAAUGUACUGAUAUCCCCAAUAAGAACCCUCGAGAAAUAGCUGCACAAGUUACACCAAAAAAAAACUACAAUUCAAAUCACAAUUACUUCAGAAAUAGAAGAAUAUUGAAACAUACUCUCCAUUCAACUAGGCAAUCGCGAAAAAACGUGGACCCUUCAGAAGGCUCAGCUUUAACAGGGUCCAAACUUCGGUAUACAUUAAUAUCAAUCUCUGCAAUUUGUUGAACAUUGGACUUGUACUGCACCACCCCAAAAAAAAAACUUCAGAAUUAAAAAAAAAAUAAUUCCAUAAUACUCUCGUCAACCAAGAAGGAAAAAAAAUGAACAACUUGAAUAAAAAGAACUGCAAUUUUUUAUUUGCAUACAAAAAAUUAAGAAAGAUAGAUAGCUUACAACAAAUUUCUUGCUUCCCUCGCCUGUGUUUAGAGACUUUACGGCUCGAGCGUCCGCGGGCGUCGCCAUUGGUGCCUCACCCAAGCUCAAUCUCUGGAAAAGGGAGGGAGAAGGGGGGAGGGUUUAACUUUAAGAGGUUAGCUAACUACCGACUUCAGAAGUUGAGAGGAGGGUUUAAGGUUUUCAGUUUAUUGUUGUUCCUUUUUGACCUUUUUCUUUUUUUUUUGAUUUUUUGUAGUUAACUUAUUCAUAUCCUAUCCUAAUCCUAUCCUAAAUCCUAAACUACAUAAAGCGCCGAAAUCCUAUCCUAAACUACAUAAAGCGCCCAAAGUCGAGCUACAGUUAAUUGUGCCGGUUUCGCUGUGAUUUCGCAGCUGAUUUCGUCCUUUUUGGUCUUUUCGCAGGCUCCAUGCAGCGGCUUUGCUUCCUGUUCCGCUUGUCCUCAUUUCUUUUUUUGUUGCUUUGUUCCCAUUGUACCCUUUCCCUUGGUUCGUUUGUAAUUUGCCAAUCAAUUUUGUCCUUUUGUUUCUUCGAUCUUUUCCUCCCGUCGUUUUGCUAUCUUCAAGCCGUGUAUAUUGACCAAAGUAUUUUUAUGUUUACAAUUUUACCACUUUUUUAUAUUUAUUCCCUUACUUAUUAACUUUCUCUAAAACGUGUAUAUUAACAAACAUAUUAAAUAUCAAAAAAUAUGCAGGUUGCUAUAUACACAAACAUAUUAAAUAUCAAAAAAAUAUGCAAGUUGCUAAAUAUCCUAUGUACAUCUAAUAAAUACAAACGAAUAAAAAUUCUAUAUGUAUCUAAUCAAUAUAUAUCAAUAUAUAUAAAUUGAUUAUUGUGUUUUGUAUUAAUGCAGAUCAAUGAAAAUCAUAUAUAUUUAGCAUGCAUCUAAUAUAUAUAAAUUAAUAAUACUACUUUGUAUUAACAUAUAUAAGUGUUAUUUAUGUGAAAUAAUUAUAAUUUCGACACUAUUUCUAUGUUUAUAAUUUUCCGUCCUUCUUUAUAUUUAUCCGCUUAUUUAUUAACUCACUUGUUUAUUAACUUUGUUAAAAGUGUGUGUAUUGAAAAAAAAUAUUAAAUAUCAAAAAAUUACGCAUGUCACUAAAAAUCCUAUGUAUAUCUAAUACAUACUAACGAAUAAAACUCUAUAUGUUUCUAAUCAAUAUACAUAAAUCAAUUAUGCUGUUUUGCAUUAAUGCAGAUCAAUAAAAAUUAUAUGUGUUUAACCUAUAUCUAAUAUAUAUAAAUUAAUAAUACUACCUUGUAUUAACAUAUAAUAAGUGUUAUAAUACUACCUUGUGUUAGCCCCUACUUAAACAUUAAUUACUAGAAGCAAUAAUUAAGACCAAAAGUUAUCAAAAUUUUCAACAUACUUGAUACGAAUAUAAAAAUCAUCCCAAUAAGAAAACAAAGCAGAUACAAUUCAUACUACAUACAAAUGCGAAUAAUACAUAACAGUCGUUAACAACUUCAGAGCCGGAGAAAAAAGCUUACUUGAUUAGAGGCACAAGAGAGUCGGAACAAAAACUUUGGGGAAUUUCGGAAGAAGCAGAGACAGAAAGCGAAUGAACCUUUUUCUGGGAAGAUUUUCGAUAAAGCUCUCAGCCCUAGGGUCUGUUUGAUAACAUAAAAAAGUGCUGAAUCUGAAUUGUUUCAGACAUUCAGAUGUUUUGAGUGUUUGAUAAAUGAAAAUCAAUUUGCUGAACUUGUUAAGCAGUGUUGAACUUGUGUGUAUUUUUUUCAGCACAAGAAUCCUAACUGAAUGCUUAAUUUUGAUAAGAAUCAAUAGAAUUACUUCAACUACCUUAUCUUAUGUACCAAAUCCACCCUUGUUUGUUAAUUAUGUUCAAAAUUCUUAUUUAAUUAAAUAACCUAAUAUUCUCUAUCUAACGAUUUUUAGUUUCUCUUUCUAUCUUUUUAAUGACUUUCACAUCUUCUCCAUACUCCUCAUAUAAUAUAUUUCAUCUUUUAUAUUAAUUUGAUUUAAAAAUAAAUAUUAUCAUUUUCAUACCUAACAAAUUUAAACUAAUUAAAUCAUAGAUUUUUUUUUUUUUUUGAAUGAAAGAUAUAAGGGCAAAAUUGUCAAAUUAAACUUAUUAAGCAUUCAACUAUAAAUAUUUAUCAAACAAUAUAAAUAGGUUUAGCAUUAAAAUUCAGACAUUCAUAUAUUUUUUUCAGUGCUUAAAAUUCAGCAAAUUAAUUAUUUCAGUAUUCAGAUUUCAGAAUUCAGACUUCAGAAUCCAGAUCCAGUUUUAUCAAACGGAACCUAACCUAGUCUUUUUCCAGUGAUAGUGGUAGAGUGAAAGAACGAAACCCUUUCUUAGUAUUAGUUUCUGAUUUUUUGAAGGGUUAAUUACAAUUUGCCUCCUCAACAUUAAGGAAAGUCACACUUUUCCCCUGUGGAGUUUGGAGCAUGGGAGAGAAACAUAUUUUGUUGUUUCAAUUGACUUUUGAGCACGGAAAGAAAAGAAUAAGGAGGAAAAGAGAGGGGAAGGCUCUAACUAUUUUAUUUUGUUAAAUUAUAUUUUCGGCCCAAAGUGGGCGGAAACGGGGAAAUUAAUUGAAAUGAAUUUAAAUAUUUUCAAAAGAUCAUUUGUUUUUCUCUAUCUUUUUCACUAAGUUGACACUUAUUUUUUUCUUUUCUUUUUUUUUUCCUUCUUCAAUCCAAAUAAAAAUUCAGUAUUUUUUUUCUUUUCCUUCCAUAUUUAAUCCAAAUAAGAUGGAAGCAAACCAUUUUCCUCUGCUUUCCUUUCCUUUCUUUUCCAUUGAUAUUCUCUCCUUUCCUUUCCCUUCCCUUCCUUCAAUCCAAACGAAGCCCGGACAAGAAAUCAAAAGCUUGGAAUAUCAGUAGAUACUCUCGUCUAUGUGUAAUGCUUUAACAUGGCAUAGAUUAGUGUCAUAUAACAGAUUUUGUGCAAUUUUUAUGCGUUCCAAGAAUUUUUUGGACUAGUACUACUCUAACCAUUGUAAUUUCGAGACUAUUUCUAUAUUUAUAAUUUUCUCUCCUUCUUUAUAUUUAUCUGCUUCUUUAUUAACUCGCUUAUUUAUUAAUUUUGUCGAAAGUGUGUAUAUUGAUCAAAAUAUUAACUAUUAAAAAAAUACGCAAAUCACUAAAAAUGCUAAUGCAUAUCUAAUACAUAAAAUAGCCUUCUUUUUAUAUUUAUUCGCUUAUUUAUUAAUUUUCUCCAAAAUAUAUAUUAGCAAAAAUAUUAAAUAUGAAAAAUAUGCAAAUUCCUAAAAAUCCUACGUACAUCUAAUAUAUGCAGAUGAAUAAAAAUUCUAUGUGUAUCUAAUCAAUAUAUAUAAAUCAAUUAUGAUGUUUCGUAUUAAUACGAAUCAAUGAAAAUUAUAUGUACUUAACAUGUAUCUAAUAUAUAUAAAUUUAAUUAAUUUUCUCAAAAAUGUAUAUAUUAGCAAAAAUAUUAAAUAUGAAAAAAAUAUGCAAAUCGCUAAAAAACCUACGUGCAUCUAAUAUAUGCAAAUGAAUACAAAUUCUAUGUGUAUCCAGUCAAUAUAUAUAAAUUGAUUAUGCUAUUUCGUAUUAAUACAAAUGAAUGAAAAUCAUAUGUACUUGACAUGUAUCUAAUAUAUAUAAACUUAAAAAUAAAUCAAUCCAAUAUUUAUUGAUUCAAAAAAAUUAUUCGAUCAAUAAAUACAAAUAUAUGAUUCUAAAUUUAUAAUUUCAAAUUGUUAAAAAUCCUUAAUUUGUAUAUAUUAUAUUUAUGAAUUUAUAUUCUUCACUAUAUUUCUUUUCUUUUAGUUUUUCUAAUACUAAACUCUUCCACUAUCUAACACACAAUCUUGAAUCUUUGGUGAGUUUCAUAUAAAUUACAUUCCAAUCAAUAUAAUUCAUACACUACAUUGCUACUCUCAUUUCAUAAUACAACUACGUUUUUUCCCUAUUUUCUAUCUCAUGUAUUCAUUGGUGAUAUACCCUCGCAUAUACAAACAGUCAACAUAGGAGUCAUCAAUUGCUAUCAUACUAAAACUCGAUGGAUCUUUCAGUUAGAAGGAAUAGAAAUAACAGAAAGUUGGCCAAUAUUGGCACAAAAACACUUCUUACAUGAAGGAAGUGUCAUCCUGUUCACCUUGCUCAAUGAAAAUAAUUAUCAUCGGCAACUCUUCAGUAGAGACUUUAUCCAACAAUCAUAAUUAAACGUGUCCACUACAGCUUCUUGCACAUAGCAAUUAUCUGUUCCCUAAAUUUUCUUUAUUCUGCUUCCACUUAUAUUUAACAAUAUAAAAAUAAACAUAUCGAAAUUAUUUCGAAUUAUUAAUUUAUCUCAACUCUUAAAAAAUGAUUUACAUUCCAUUAAUUUAAAUAAUAUUUACAUCCUGUUACUCUUAAAAAUUAAAUACAAAUCACAACAAUAUUACUAUAUCUAUUUAUAAAUAUAUUAAUCCAAUAUAUUAUUCCUCUAUUUAUUAUUCCAACCCCACUAUCAUAUAAAACACUCUAAACAUUAAUUAUUAUAUAAAUCUUACAUUACUCUUAAACAAUUAAUAAUGGGCACCCCGCGAAACUCGCGGGGCACAAUGCCUAGUAAUUUUCCAUCCGACAUGGAAAAUUAGGUUUUAUUGAGGUUUUACCGACUUUAGGCAAAUUAAUAGAAAUGGACCCUUCAAAUCCGUACAAGUCCAGUCCUCUUUUGAUCUUUGUUAAAAUUUUGAAAUUUACAAACAGCUAGGCAAGGAAGGAAUUACGUUUAACUUCGAAAAUAAUUGUAAAAAAAGAUAAUAACUAUACUUUUUUUGAGGAUUUUGUUCUAUGUAAAUAGAUUAAUCAUUUUUUCAAAUGAAAGGAAUCCAGCAUCUUCUACUUAUAAAUCUUCUUAUUUAGUAGCAAAAAAAGCUAAUCUAAUAAUAUGCAAAAAAAGACUAAUCUAAUUAAAUACAAGCAGUAUCAAGUAUAAAAAGCAAUUCAAGAUCCAAAACUUUAUAAGUAAAUAACUUGAACUAUAAUUGGAUAUAAGAUUUAUUGAAAGAAUAUGUCUGGAUAUAAUUGGAUAUUUCAAAACUUACUACUCUUACAUACUUGAUAUUUGAAAAAUAUAAGAUUAUUUGAAACAUAUUAUUUGAAAUAAUACCAUAUAAGAUUAUUUAAAAAAUAUUAUUUUAAAUAAUGACGUGAUACAUGUAAAAUAAAAAAAUUAGUUGAAAAUUAUAUUUAUAAUGUAAGAGGAUUUUUUUUUACAAAAUUAUAUUGUCCAAAAUAUAAUUGCCUAAUUGGGAAUGAUUUCAUAAUUACGACAACUAUAUGGGAGGUUAACGUAAUUUUGUCAAAUUGUAAAAGGUAGAGUCUCUGCAGCCGAAAAUACUCCUCUCAAUCGUUAAAAGCAUCUUGCAAUCGUCCUUUUCCACCCCUUGCCCAGUCCUACCCACUCGCCGUUACUCCUAAGGUACGCCAUCUCGCCGCCACCUCCACCUCCACCGCGCGUGCAUACACACUCACGCGUACAAAACACAAUCACACACACACACACACACACACUCAUCACGAGGGCAAAAAUUUCCAAUUAGGGUUUUUAAAAUUAUUGUAAAGUUUCGAUUUUUAUUAUUACUGAUAAUAAUUUAGUACUACUUGAAUUAAGGUUGUGGGGGAAAAUCAUCUGAGGGCGAUUCUGUAAUUUACUACAAAUCUAAUGGCGGAUCGGAACAGCAGCACGAACGGCAAUCCCAAUGUGGCUGCGGCUGCGGCGGCGGGGGCGGCUGCCACCGGCGCCGUGGGAAAGACGAUAUGGAUGAAGCAAGCGGAGGAAGCUAAGCUCAAAAGCGAAGCGGAGAAAGCUGCGGCUGCCAAAGCAGCUUUCGAGGCCACGUUUAAGAACUCCUCCAACAAUACGGCUGCAGCUGCCGGGUCCGAAGACGAUGACGACGAUGAAGAUGAGGAGGAAAGAGAGCGAAGAAGGCUGGCUUUAAAGCCAAUUGGUCCAGUGGACCCCGGUAAGUGCACCGCUGCCGGUGCAGGGAUCGCCGGUGGGACUGCGUGCGUGGGGUCGACUUUUGUGGUGGUUACAAAGGAUGCGGAUGGCCGGAAGUUGCCUCACGGUGGGGCUCAGGUCAAAGUUAGGGUUUCACCUGGAGUUGGAGUGGGAGGAACCGAGCAGGAGGGGAUUGUGAAGGAUAUGGGGGAUGGGACGUAUACAGUGACGUAUGUUGUUCCAAAGAGAGGGAAUUAUAUGGUGAAUGUUGAGUGUAAUGGGAAGGCUAUCAUGGGGAGCCCUUUCCCUGUGUUCUUCAGCUCAGGUAUAUAUGAAACUCUGUUAAAAAAACAUAAAGAUAUACUACUUUUCUCGAAUGCUUGUACAGAGAAUUCAACAGAUGUCAGUUUCAUAACCUAAAAUAUAAAAUAUUUCGUGAAGAUGUAGUUUAGUAUGCAGAGUGAUGCAUAUGUGGGGAUAAGGAUUUUUGAGUUUGUAGCUUGUUCUUGAUAAAUGGCAUUGUUAUUCUGUGUAUAAACAUGUGUGCCGAAAUUUUUGGACUAGUGAAGUUUUGACUCAAGAUAUAUUUAGAGGUUCUAUGUAUUUCAGACAUUAUGCCUGCUAGUGAUUAUCUUUUUAAUCUCUAUGGGGUUGGAGGAACCUUUUAUAUUUUAGUUCUUGAACAUUUUGUGCUUUAAUUUAGAUGAAUUAGCUGGCGCUGGUAUAAAACACUGGUUGACUUUCAGCUUAUUAAUGAGUUACAUUGAGUUUAUAUUGCUAAUGCUUGAUUGUAAAGUUUUAGAGCAUCAUUUUUUAUACCAGUUGUUGCUUCCCUCCUUUUUUUUUUUUGGUUUCAGAGCAAGAAUAGCAUGUCAAACCUUUGGCUCUUGUACUUUGGAGUUGGGAACAGGUGCCAUGUAUUACUCAUCUUGAUGUUUGAGUAAUGUAGCAGUCUAAUACUAUUUAUACCCAUAAAUCUUCCCUUUGACUUUGGUCUGCAUCUUUUACUAUUUUUCCAGCAGAACAUGAACACAUGUUUUCAUUUCUCGUAGUAGCCUUUUUUUGGCAUAAUUUAGUUGUGCUUUUUAGUCUUCAUCAUUGCGUAACUAAAUAAUGCUUUUGCUGAAGUAGGAUUUGGCCAUUGAAACUAUAUAAUAAUUUUCCAGGAAUGAUAUAUCUUGAAAACAAUUAUAUGUCGAGGCUUAAGAAGGGGGAGGGGGAAGAAAGUCUAAUGUAGAUCCUGGAAAAGUUUGCCCUGUUUUUCCUGUAUUGGAUUCUAGCUGAUGGAUUGUUAAGUCACCACAGCCCUAGCAGUUCACAGAAUGCUAUGGAAAGACUAAUCUAUUCCUGAUUAAUAAAGUCAAUGCUCUCUCUACAAGUCCAUUUUCCUGCUCUCUGUUUUCUCUCUCAUUACGCAUGUCCAGCAGUUCAUCUCUGCCUUUUGUCUUCGCCAUCAUUACAGUCUCUGCUUCUUUACACUCUACACGAACCAGUCCUCCUUUGUCCUACUAAAAGCCCUUCGUAGUAACUUGGCAGUCACAAUCCCAAUGACACCCUAGUACUGAUCUUGCUGGCCCUUCCAUGUCGUCUGAAGAUAUAUAUUGCCUUUGCCUUUACUGAAUUGCUUUCUUUGUAGACGAAGCCAAGCACUCUACUGCCACUUGUGAGUUGUGGGCCUGGUGCACCACCUGAUUGCACCCAAAAUCCUCCCACAGCUGCUUUCCUAAAAAAGGAUUUUGGAACGCACCAUCUAAUUUCCAUCCCAAAUGAUGAAACACGGUUUGGAGCAGUGGCGAAUUCAUAUUAUUGCCCCUCUCAGCUAUGAAAGAACUACAUAUCUGAUUAGGAAAUUCUGUAAUUUUUAAGUAACAUCCCCCUUUGCUCUUCUUAAAUUUUGAAUAGAAGUUCCCUUCUAGCUAAAUAUGGACCUUGGAAAGUGUGAUUUUUGCUCUUCCUAAAAUUUUCCUUUAUGGCAAGUGAAUCUUAAGAUCCUUUAAAGAAAGAUUAUUUCAUCUAAUCCUCGAGUGAAGUACAUUUUAUUGUUGCAACAUAGUGAUUCUUAAAUGCUAAUUGAGAAACUUACUACAUAUUAAUUGUCAGCAGAUGAUUGGAUUUGUGAAUAUGAGCCAAUCAGGCAUAGAUUUUGCAGAAUACUAUUCUGUUUGUUUAUUGGACAUUUUGAUAGGACAGUUAAGUGUCUUUGUUAGAUUCUUGGGGAGAGAAUAGGUUUCUCUGCAUCUAAUUCCCAUUGAAUUGCUUUACUAGUGACAAAACUGCUGAUAGUUAUACAUGCUUUCUUAAGUUGUUCCAAAUUCACUAGGUUUGAAGUGUUUUGGCUUGUUGACUUGGAGUUUGUAAUGUUUCUAUGCAGGUCCUACAACUGGAGGGUUGCUGGGGGUUGCUCCCUCUUCCACAUACCCAAAUAUGGUUAAUCAAACCAUGCCCAAUAUGCCAAAUUAUUCUGGUUCUGUUUCAGGUGCAUUUCCUGGAUUGCUUGGGAUGAUUCCUGGUAUUGUUCAGGGAGCUUCCGGCGGGGUGGUUUUACCUGGGAUUGGUGCAUCUCUUGGAGAAGUUUGUCGAGAAUACCUUAAUGGUCGGUGUGCAAAAACUGAUUGCAAGUUUAGUCAUCCUCCUCACAAUCUUCUGAUGACUGCUUUAGCUGCCACAACUAGUAUGGGCACUGUUAGUCAGGUUCCCAUGGCACCUUCUGCCGCUGCAAUGGCUGCUGCUCAGGCUAUUGUUGCUGCUCAAGCCCUCCAAGCUCAUGCUGCUCAGGCAGCACAAGCUCAGGCACAAUCUGCUAAAGAUUCUUCUGGUAUUUCUAAUGCCUACUAUUUGUGUACUAUCUAAUAAUCCUCUUAUUCAUUGCUCAUCAUUAUUGUCUGGGAAGAAUUUUGAUUCUAAAAUUUGCCACCAUUCAGCUAAUAACUGUGAAAGGCAUUAGGCUACUGUGUAUAAUGUCCAUUAUGGCCUUCCGGUGAUCUUUGUUAUUUUCUUUCUUUUCCCUUUUGCUUUUUGUACCCUGUCCAUGUUUUUCGAUAUUUAUAAGUAAGACAUCAGUUGUCCUUCUGAUGCUUAACAAUCUCGCUAUUGCUGUGAAAAAUAUGUAUUCAACUGCAAACUUGUAAUGCUUUCUGAAGUUUAUCUUUCCUUCUGUUUUUUCACUCUCUUAUUUGGUGUUUUCUACCUUUAUCUGCUUUUUUACAGGAUCAGCUGAUAAAGAGGGGAAAAAUGAUACCCUUAAAAGAACCGUUCAAGUCAGCAACCUUAGCCCACUUCUCACAGUGGAUCAGCUGAAGCAGUUAUUUGGCUUGUAUGGAACUGUUGUUGAAUGUAAUGUGACAGAUUCAAAAUAUUUUGCUUAUAUAGAAUAUUCAAAGCCUGAAGAAGCAACUGCCGCAUUAGGAUUGAACAAUAUGGACGUUGCUGGUCGCCCAUUGAAUGUUGAAAUGGCAAAAUCACUUCCUCCAAAAUCGGCCAUUCUUGGUUCAUCUUCUCUCCCUUUAAUGAUGCAACAAGCUGUUGCAAUGCAGCAGAUGCAAUUUCAGCAGGCAUUAUUAAUGCAGCAAACAUUGACACAGCAGCAGGCUGCCAAUCGAGCAGCAAGCAUGAAGACUGCAACCGAGUUAGCAGCAGCUAGAGCUGCUGAAAUAAGUAAAAGUUUGAAUCCUAAUGGGAUUGUUGCAGAAGAUAAGGAAGCUGAUCGCAAAUCUAGGUUAUUUGCACUUCUUGAAUCUCUUACUUUGUUUAUCAAAUAAUGAUUCUUUCAUGUUGACAUUGUAAAUAGUUUUGACUGUUUUGUUCAUCUAAGUAUAAUAGGCCUGCUGAUUUGAGCAAAAUCUUUUGUGAUUUGGGUAGAACCUUUCGUCAUGUCAGGCGUGAUUUUGUUAGUAUUUUCCUCGAGUUCUUUUUGUUGUUGUCCUUGUUCAGUACUAAAUAGCUGGGUUCUAUAGCUGUAAGCUGGGAUGUCAGAAGUUUCCUGGGUAGUUUGUCAAGUCACACACCACCUUUCUCUUUUUUAAUUAUUUGGAUGUGUUUCAUAUACUCUUCUUUUCCUAAAGCUGAGAUCAGCAGAAAUGGUAGUCACUCAUGGACGAUAUUUCAAAAGAUGCAUGUUUCUCAUGACUGUUUUACACUUGCAUGAUAUUUAUGGUGGGGUGUAUUUAACUCAGGUCAGUAAAGUUCUUUCAGAUUUUGAUCAAGACAUUGUGUAAUCUCCCCCCUCCCCCCCACCCUGUAAUGUGGACUUUACUGAUUUGGAAGUCUUUAGCCUGACGUAGCAAGUUGUGUCCUCUCCUUGAAGUGAAUGAGUAGUUAUUCUUGAAAUCUUUUUUAUAACGUGCUCUUAACUGCUUUUUGUUGUGUCUCUUUGGGGUUUGCUUUCUUUUUUUUCUUUUGUUUUGUUAUCCUUUUCUUGCGUUGUAAGUGUUAUUAUUCCUGGCAUGAUCUAAGUUGACAGCAUUUACAUCUUUAAUGUCCGAUCCUAUUUUAUUUAAUUUAGUUUGGCAAAUUCUAGUUCUGGUCACAUGUUCAGUACAAAUUUAAAUCUAGUGAUUCUGAUUUCGUGUUUGACAUUUUACUGUUUCAUGUUUUGACAUAAUCAUAAAUUUUUUUUUAUUUACAUAAUAAUCAUAACUUUGAUGUUUCAAUAUUAGCGUGUCAUCCUUCAUGUUUCAAGAUUGUGUUUUAAGAUGAUUUAUUUUAAAAUUUGAAGUUAUGAUUUCCAAAUAUAGAAGGGAUUUAACAACUAAAUUUGCAAUUCUUCCUCAUAAUUCUUCGGUCCACAAGGUGUUCUUUCAUGUUAACAGUUGAUGUAUCUAAUAAAGAGUUUGCUUUAGUAUCUCAUGUCUAUCUAACUAUAGGAUCUAUAAAUUUAGCAGUUAAUAUAUCAAAACUGGAAAUUUUGUAGUAUUAUACUCUUGCCGACAUAUCUAGAAAUUAUUUUGAUGGUUUGCGUGUUUAGCUAUGUUCUUUUAUCUAGUGUAACUCCUUCAGCUGUGCCUUUUUGACAAACAUUGUAUGUUGCUCCGUGGCGAGGGUAGGUCUCCAUCUACAACCCGCGCAAGGUCAAGGUCGAAGUCAAGAUCUCCUGUCAGUUACCGGCUUAGGCGUAAGUCUCGCUCUAUAACACCACCACGUCGGUACUCAAGAGGUUACAGAUCUAGAUCACCAGUAAGGUCUCGUCAUUACUCAAGCUAUGAGCAUGAAAGGAGGUCCUACAGGGAUAGCAGGGAUGAUAGUGGAAGAAGUAGGAGGAGGGAUUCAGGUAAAUCUCAUGAUCGCCAUUCUCCUGUUUCAAGAAGACGUAGAAGUAGGAGUGGGAGCCCUAGAACUAGAAGAUCAUACCGAGACGAUUCUGACUCCCCAAAACGUCAUCGAGACAGUCCAUCUCAUAGGCGAAGGAAAUCAUCUUGUGCCAAUUCAAGAUCACCUGACCACCACAGGGGAAGUAGAUCAUCCCCUAGAAACGAUGAAAGCAGAGCAAAACAUAGAAAGCGAUCCAGGUCCAGAUCAGCUGAGGUUAACCAUAACUCUGGUGAUAGGAUGGAUGAAAGUAGAGAAGAAAAGUCCAAGCACAAGGAGCGGAGGCGGUCGAGGUCCUCCUCCACUGAGGGCAAGACUCGAGAAGAGAAGUCCAAGCACAAGGAGCGGAGACGGUCCAGGUCCUUGUCCACUGAGGACAAGAUUCGGAAACGAAGUAGAUUGUCACCAAGAGUUUCAGGUGAAACCAAAUCAAAACACAAAAGGCGGUCCAGGUCUAGAUCUCCUGAAAAAAGGCAUCACGUUAGUAGUAAAGUAGACAAAAACAGUGAAGAGAAGUCCAAGCAUCACGAAAGAAGGCGGUCCCGGUCAAGGUCUACUGAAGGUAAACGGCACAAAAGUAGUGGGAUGUCGCCUAGAAGGACUGAUGAACGGAAAACAAAACAUAGGAAGCGCUCAAGGUCAAGGUCGACAGAACACAAGUAUCACUCGAGUGAUAAUGGUGUGCAGGAAACUAAGCAUGAGAAUGUGAAACAUCUGAAGGAAAGACCCACUGAAUCAGAUGAUUCCUCCAUGGAACCUGGUCCUAAGGACUUAAAUGAUUCAGAAAAUGAUGAUGGCCAUAUGGAAAUCAAUAAAAGGGAUGAGCGUGACUAUGAGAGAACCGAGGCUACUGUGACAGAACUAAACCUUACCAAAGAAACGUGAACUAGUUUGAAAUGCUGUCACCAAAGGCAAUGGUAUUUAUUUUGUGUAAUGGAGGAUUGCUAAUGCAUCAAAAGCAACCUGUACUUUGAAGUAACUCGGUUUGAAGUUUAGGCUUGUGUGGAAAGGGCUGCGAAAAGAGGAAGAUCUGGGUUUCUCUUGGAAGAUGCCUCAAUUUCUUUUCUGCUCCCAAAUAUUAGGAUGAUAUGUGGCUCUCUUGUGAUAAUUACCUUUUUUUUCUCCCUUCCUUCUUCUCCCGAUUGCAGGUUGUUGAUGGAGUGGAGUUGCUGUAUUCUGAAGCUAUCUUGCUAUCAUAUUUCAGGAAGUCCUGUGCCUAUUUAAAUCAACUGAGCUAUAAUUUAUGGAACUACUGUAUGAGCUUGAUCUAAGCUGAUCUCUUACCUUCAUCAGUAGGUAGUGAGUUUGUUCAAUGCUGUCUCUGUUUAAGGAUUUUCUCUUUUUAAGGAUACUGGUGACUCAUUUAAUUGUGUUACUACUGAACUUUGUCCUGCAUCUCUUUCCUCUUGAAUGGUAUUUGCUUGUCCUUUAGGAAAUCUGUGGUUAGAGGAACCAGCAACCUAUCUUUAAACUGUUUCAAAACAUUAGAACUCUUAGCUGUUGUGAGUUUUUGUUCCCCUUCUUUUUUCGUUGGUGAAGUAUACAGUUUGGAAUAAGGAGAACUAUAGUCUGCACAUUAGGAAUUAAUCUAUUAUUUUUAUUACAGAAUAUUUGUUUACUUGCGGGGAGAUAGGUCAUCUUACACCUCUUUCCCUUUGUUCUUUUUUUAUUGGAUAUAUUUUUCUAUUUUCUUCUUGAAUUUGUUAUUGAUAAGCAGCGGGCAGAGCUCUAUGUUAAUAGGGGCUUUUGGGCAAUAAUAGUUCAUUUUAGAUUUGCAUUUGAUGGUUUUGGUGGGCCUGUUACAUUUCAAGAACAUGCAGGUCCUCAAGCUGGUAUCAAGUGGUGCUUUACUGAUCAAUUUGGCGAGAUUGUGUUAUCUGGUUGUAUAUGAAGGUAUGCAAUCAUGGAUUCUGGUGGUCUAGUGGCAGGAGCUUUUGCUGUUAAUUUUGACUGAUAGAUUGAAUUGUUCACUGAUUUUUGUUGGUCCAAUUUUGAUUGAAGAUGAAGUUUGUUUCUGUACUUGAUACUUUGUAAUGCUCCUUUCCUCAUGUUUCUUUUGUCUUUUCCUUUUUUUUUUGGUUUUUUUUUUGGGGGGGAAGAGGGGAGGUUGGGUUUCCCCCUUCCCUUUUCUCUCUUCUUUCCUUCUUCCCUGUUUCUUCUCUAUAUUCCUUGGAAUGCUUGAUUAGGUAAUUUAUCAUUGACUCGAAAAGGAGGUUGCUGAGAUGGUUAGCAACAUAGCUUCCAGCUUUUCUCCCUGUGAAGUGAUCACAUUGGCCAACUUAAAGGGGCUGAGUUUCAUGGUGAAACUCUGUGUGCGCAGGUAAUUAGUUGUCUUAGACUGUUAUCCAAUAUCGUCUUCCUUGGAGGGAAAUGAAGUUAGCUACCCUAGGGCACGGAGAUUACUCUUGCUAAAGAUACCUAUCACUAGACAAGUAGUCUAACCCUCAGAGCAGCAGAUAGCUUGUUUGGUACACGAACCAUCUAGUUUAAUGAUAGGUAUAUUACAUUAGUUUCAUGUUGCUGAUGUUUAAUUUUGGAGUACAUUGAUGAUCAUUGCUCGAUCUGUCUAUAUCCAUGAUUGAGAGUUCACUUAUAUGCGGUCUGUGUGUACGCGUACGGAUGGGGAAAUUGUGAUUAAGCUGAAGCUCGUGAGCCAGUUGGCUGAAGUUCAGAUCACCUUACACUCUUUUAUCAUCAAUAUGGAACAAACCUAAUGUCUCAAUGGCAUAUGCUAUUAAUGUCACAACAAUCUAAUGGUGGUGCUUCUUUGCCCUUUAACUUCAGUAUUCUCACAUGUUAGUUAAUUUGUUUUGGAUAGGUAAACUUUAUUAAUUGAAAUCUAAUAGAACACACCCUAUAGUUAAUUGCUUGAUGGCUAAUGCUUAUGUUAUUUUCAUGUUGUCAAUAUCUGUAUCUUUCCUGCUGCACUCCACCAAAAGUAUUCUGAAUUCUUAACUAUAUUGGAUAUGGUGGAGUUCAUUCAGCAUGGACCUUUUUUUUUUGUACUUAUAACACGGGUUGGCUCCAGUCACAUUUCUUGGACAUUUGCAUUCUUUGUUGUUGGUGAGAGAUUUGUGAGAACUACUGGCCUGAAGGAUGGGCAACCUCGCAACUUGCUUCCUAAACUUUUAUUCUUAACAAGAUUGUUAAGGGAAAUUUUUUUUUUUGUGGCCUCAUAUUAUUGAUAAAACAAGUGAUAUAGGUAAUAUCGUGGAAAUGUGGAAACCACAAUAUUCGAUUUAAAGGCGAGAAAAAAAUUGCUGCGAACUAAAAUAUAGCUCCGAGAUUGAAUUCUUACAAUCUAGCCUUCGACAAUGGCGGUUUCAUUGUACGCCAUUAUGUUCAAAAAGUCAUUGGUCACUGCAUAAAGUUAAAGAGGAAACUUUGUGGACGGUCCAUAAAAACGAUUGCUUCUGUAUGAUUUUAUCCAAUCAACUAUAAACUAUCACAAAGCAGCCCUUGAAUUAAAAAAAAUGAUCAAUUUUUGCCGUUAGAGGUGACAAAAUUAGGGGUAAAGCCAAUCAAACAAAAAAAAUUAAUAGCUUAAAAGUCCUCAUUCAUUAAAUUAGGGUUAGAAAAGGUAGAAGAUGAAAGAAAAGGAGGCUUUAACAAGCUAUUUGUUUUGCUGGAAUAAGAGGGCAAGGAAAGGAAAGGAAAGGAAAUGGAGGGGUGUAUGAUUUUUGAUGUUUGGGAUUGGUCUUUGAAGAGAGAGAGGAAAUGAUUGGGAGGGAAGAGGAUUUAGUUAUUUUUUGUCAGCUUACUUUUGGUCUAAAAGUGGGUGAAAAUGGAGGGAAAGGACAUUAAGAUUAAUGAAAAUUUUAAAAAUUUUUAAAAAGCCUAUUAUAUGUUUAUAAAUUAAACUUUUAAAUUAUAGGUAAAAACUUAACAAACAGAUGGAUUAGAAAUGUACUAUGGUGUGUGCUUCAUAGGUUCGAGACAAGGGGGAAAAUACCCUGAAAGAAAGACCUUUACGGGGAACAUCAACGUAGUGAAAGUAGACAGCGUUUGGGACGAAAAUAUAAUUAUGUUAUGUGACCUUUAACUAAUUUGUAAGACUCUUAUGGACCUUCUUCUUCUUCUUCUUUUUUUUUUUUUUUUUUUUUGUCAAUUUGUCAAAAAAUGAGAAGUUUUCCACCCACUUCCACUUGUCCAUUUCAAAACUCCCCAUGAGUGAUGCCAAGAUGUUCACUCUUGAGCUAAAUAUUAUAAUUAUUACAACAUGUGGGUGUUUUAGAAGCCAAUUGUUAAUUUUUUUUUGUUCACAUUAACAUUUAGAAGAGAUUUACAUAGAGGUGGCAAUUUUUCCCAAGUCCCAAUGGGUUACCCAUGCCCAUGGGGACUUUGGGCGGGAUGGGUACUGAAAUUUGAUAUUGGGUUUAAAAUGAGACAAAUCCCAAUUGUACCCAUUAAUUGAUGGGAAAUCUUGGGAACUACUUGGGUACCCAUUGGGCUCAAAUAGCAAGGGCUCCGUUUGGAUUAGUUAUUUUUGGGGGGUAUUUUUGAAAUAUUUUAUUGUAGUAGUGUAUAUGAAAAAUUUUUACUAUAAAUUUUUUUUUUGAAAUAUUUGAUAUACUAAUAUAGAUGGGAUAUUUUUUGAAUUAUUGUAUAUUACUGUAAUAUUGUAUUUGAAAAACUUAUUUUUUGAAAAAAUAGCCAAUCCAAACGGAGUCUUAGAUUCAAAAAUUAUCUUUAACAAUUUUUAUAGUCAUACUAACGAAUAUAAUCUAGUAGUCUUCCUAGUCAUUAUCCACAAGAAUUUCCAGCAUUUCAGUCAAUUUAGACCUGUCAUCCUUGGACAAUGAUGAGAAUAAAUAUUCAACACCCUAAGUACCUUGACCAUCUUGAUAUAUGUUGGAAUAUGGUUGUAUAUCUAUUUUUUCCUUUAUUUGUUAAUCCAAUUUUUGGUGGGAAUCUUGAGUAUAAAGCACUUGCAUGUUUAUUUAAUAAAACUAAAAGAAAUUUAAUAAAUCAAAAAUAUUAAAUUUAUAUAAAAAAUAAAAAAUGAAUUAAAGGAAAAAAAAUAUGUAGAAAAUAGAUUUGGGUAUUGGGCGGGAUCAAUCUAAACCCAUCCCAAAGUGAUCCCGCCCAAGUUAGUCCCAAAACACGUAUGGGUAAGGUUGGCCCCAAACCCAUAUGACUCGGUUCCAUCUCAAACCCAAUCAAAUCCCGCCCAUUUUGCCACCUCUAGAUUUACACAAUGAGCAUUAUUAUACUAAGCGAAACAUCAACACCAGAUUCCAACUUUAUAGCAAGUAAACUUAAAAUAAUUGGAUGAUGAUUAUUCCUAUGACAACAAACACUUUUUCUGGAGGUUACUAUACUUUGUUCUUGCAAAAAUAAUUUAUGAAAGGGCUUUUGCAAAUAUUCUUCUUUUUUUUUUUUUGCUGAUCAAUAUGCUAAAAUUUGGCAGUAACAAGUAAGACAUACCUGCAACAAUGAGAACAAUAAGAAAUAGGCAAGAAAAAAAACCCUCAACUUAGAUCAAGAAACAAAACAGAAGCCUGGUUUUUACAUUCUAUUUGUUUUAGUAAAACUUCCAAAUUCUUACUCAGAGCCAAGGAAAAUGCAAUUAAGCAUUCAAAGCCAAGGAGAUUAAACUUAAGCACAUGUUAGUUUGAGAAUGAUUUGAUGUACAUGCGGUCAUAUUAAAAUUUUACAACACCUAGCAACCUUGAUGUUUUUUUCUUCAUGCUUAUGAAUGACAAGAAGAAAAAGACAUGCAACUGCAAGAAUUUUAAAUGAAGGUAGAGUUUUAAUUCAACCUGUGUUGGGGUGAUAGUUCACCUACAAAAUGUAAAUUAAAUGACAUAAAAUGACAGAAGAUUAGAGAGAUUUCAUGCUUUUCAAUUCCUAUUGAUGCCAUAUCAUUCCUACCUUAGUUUAAUAUGCUUCUUCUAUUGCUUCUGAGCUUGACUCAUGAGUUUUAAAAUUCUUGCUAAUUUAGACAUUUGUGAUGACCUUCAACAACAGAACAAAAUCUCUACCGUCUAAGCAUUAAUCAAUUGUUCACUUGCAACAUUCCAUAGUGUAUUUUGUGUUUCAUAAAUAAUGUGACUUGAUAGUUCCUAUAAUGUUCGAGUAGGUAGCUUUUUUUUUCCACUUAUAGAAAAGGAGAAUAUCAAAAUAGGAGGGGACGAGGAUGUACGAAACAGAAACUGAGACAUUUAACAGUUAUUUUAAGGCAAGAUACAAAUGCUUCAAUCACCAUAAUAUAUUUGAUAUUUAGCUAUGUUCCAUAGUAAAUUUAUUGACUUUGUUUUGAGCUCGAAAAUUUAACGAAAUUAGAAACGAUAUAUAAAGAAAGCAAAAGUAUAUGAAUUUUCAUUUGGUUCUUCUCUUUAUUUCACCAAUAGAUUUGUCUUAAAGUGAUAGAUAUUGUUAAGAGCCCCAAAUUCAAUCAUUAAAUAUUAGUCAAAAUAGUAGAAAAUGAGUGUGGAAACAUAAUUGUCUUUCAAGGACUAAGUUGAGAUAUAUUAUCAUAGACAUUUAUCGAUAAUAUUUGCACCGAUACAUUCAACCUUCAAAUCCGACAUGAACAAAAGUUUGAAUAACUGUAUAAAUUGUUAUAAUCGUACUCACGAAGUGCACACAUGAAUCGAUAGUGUCCCCUUAUGAAUUCUUGAUUAGGUAAACAAUAUUGCCUGUUGAAAUUAGUACUAAUUCUGUCAUGGUUGUAAAUGGCUAAAUGCAAUUGUCCUUCAUCUCCCAAACAUUCCACUUUCGAGCCAAAAAGAAAAAAACAAUUGCAAUCUCCAUUGAGUUAUUGCACGGUUUUCUUGAGGGCAUCGACUCAUUGUAUAGUAACAGAUAUAGCUUGUGUUGGGACACUUUUCUAAUGUUGAAUGUUUAGAUAAUUUAAUGUAAUAUAUGUUCAAAUCUAGUUCUUUCAAGUAUUAAUAUAUUUUUUUACGCCUUUAUUCCAUGUAAAUGUUAUGCGUAAUAGUUAAGAUCAGCAUAUCUAAAAGUGUCAUGUACUUUUUUUUUUUUUUUUUUUUUUCGACACAGGGGUGUCUGGGUCAAUCCUUACGGGGCCCGAUUAAUCCCCUGUAACCCGUGCCCGGCGCCCCCAGCCCGGCCCGAACGCGUUAAGCGCGCGGAGGAAAAAAGUGUCAUGUACUUGCAGCACUUCAAAUUCAACUCUCAAACAGACUCUAGUGAAAAGGGUAAUGAUAUUUGCAUUUUUCAUUAACUUCUUGCACAUAUUUUGAAUGUUUGUUGAUAUCAUAUGACAAGCAUGUAUAUUAGGCAAAUACAUAAUGAAGACCUGCAGGCAAGCACUUUGAUGGAGCGUGAAUACCAAUACACUACUAAAAAUUAAUCUAAGUAGUGUGUGAAUAUCCGUACACUACUUAGACAAUAAAAAUAGCCAGCUCAUAGGUUUCCUCCUCUACCCUCCCUCCAUAGGAGGGAGAUCUUGGCCUUAAGCCAAGGUCUCCCUUCCUCUUCCUUUGUCCUUUGCUCUUCCUUUCAUUCAAUAAAGUAUCUCCUAGGUUAUCCUAGUGAGAGUUUUCUUCUCUCAUAGGGUGUCCUAUUGAGAGUUUUAGUCCCUCCUAAACUAUCUUAGUGAGAAUUUUAUUUAGUUUUGUUUCUUUACUUUUUCAAAUAUUGGAGUUUUUUUUAGAUCUAUAUGUUAGAUCUACAAUUUCUUCAGUCUUCUCAUCAGAUCUCACUUUCAAUAUUGAGCUUGAACCAGUUGGACAGCAGAUUUGAGGGAAUAUUUCAUAUUUGGAUCAAUCUCGGCAGAUCUCACUAUCUUUAUUGGACCUUACAACUGUUGAUUAGCAAAUCUGACGAUUACAACAUACACAAAGAGAGUUGCAGCGACUUAUUCUAUGAUGAAAUGUUUUUCAAAUUUAUGGUACUUUUUAGAUCUGUCCUUAAUUUCUCAAAUCUUAUGUAUUUGUUAAAUUGCAGAUCUAUAAUUUUAGUGCAUGUUUAUCUGCCAUGAGGGCAGCAAUGUAUCUCAAUUGUGUUGCACGAUUUCCAGUAAUCCUUGAAUAAAAUAUGUUUUAUUAUCAAAAAAACAGCCAGCUCAUGUUGAGUUUUGGUUAGCUAGAUUGUCAGGGUUGAAUCCAAAGUCGGCCAACUACAUGUUUUGUUGGGCUGUGAAUCUUGGUAGUUUAUAGAUGAAAUAAUCAGCCAGUUUGUUUGAUUGAUGGUUCAAGUACAGUCCGACUCGUUGGUGUUAGUAGGCAUAUUGCAACGCAGGUUUCAGUGCCCGUGGCAAAUUCGUAAAGAGGUAUUCCAAAUAUGGCAGCUGGCUGAGGGUCCAGAGCAAUUCUCUCAUUGCUUCAGAGAAGCAAACAAGGUGGUAGACAUACUCGCUAAUGAAGGUCUCUUACAGCCACUUGACCCGAUUAGGGUUUAUGACCAACCAAGUCGCCUGCCACAGCUGGCAAGAGGGGCAGUCAGGUUGGAUAAAUUAGGUCUUCCCUCUCUCCGAUUUCUUAAAAAAUCAUCUGCAUAACUGGCCUCCAAACUUUCGUAGAGUUAAAACGUAUCAAGUGCCAUGUGAUAUUUUGUUGAAAAAAAAAAAAGAUUGAUGGUUCAAGUCAUUAGUUUAGUUAAACUAGGAUAACUGUAGUAAUCCUAGUUCCAUUUUGAUUAGUCUAAGUAGGGUUGUUGUCCAUAAAUAGGCGAGUCUUUUCUUUGUAAUAGGAAUUUGAAAUACCUUAGAACUAUCCUAAAUGUUGGUCCGACUUACGAAUCAACAGUCACACUUAAUUGUAGUGUCAUUCUAUCCAAACUUGAUUUACCAAUUCUAAAUCUUGUGGCUCGUCAUGUUACGAGUUGCGUCUAAAAUAGGGCGUGAGUUGUAUCAAUGUCACAAUAUUCCUGUCUUUUGUGUGAAUUUUUUUGGUAUCAACAAAAGUGAUAUUUGCAUAAAAUAUUGAUUUAAAAUUGGAUUAACAUAUUUUUGUUUCCUUUAAGAGCAUGGAUAAGAUAUGUUUUAAGUGAUAAGCAACGAUCUUGAUCAAAGUUUCUUCAACUACUUUUUUUUAAGUAAUAAUAAUGAUAUCUGCUCUAGAUCUAUUGAACGCAAUUAAACAAUAAAUUUAUUAAUUUUCGAAGCCUAUUCAUGCUAUAAAGUUUUAAGUAAAAACCAAAUCCAUUUGAAAGUGUUCCAUGAAAAUGUCCCUUCGGUCACAAUGUACAUCGUAGUUUGGUUAUGCGAGAGAAGUUUGCAUAGAUUUUCACCCGCUAUCUAGGAUAAUUAGUCAUCAUCAAAUCUAUUUUAAAUAACUUUUGCAGUGUUUAUUUUUCUAAAAUCAUUAAAGUACUAAUUAAACCACAAAAGCCUAAGGUACAGAUUUCUGAGCAAAGAAUAGGAAAUGUCUUUACCUUCGGCGUUUUUAAAAGCAAAGGGCAAUAAACAUAUUAUUAUAAAUACAAUAUAAGCUUUUUACUUGAUUGGAAUUAGCAGAUUCAAGCUGAAGUUUUUUUUUUUUUCUAAAUCCUCUCUCCCCUCUCCACACUCCUUCCCAUCCUACAAUUAAGUGGAAAAAUGCUUCAAUCACCAUAAUAUAUUUGAUAUUUAGCUAUGUUCCGUAGUAUAUUUAUUGACUUUGUUUUGAGCUCGAAAAUUUAACGAAAUUAGAAACGAUAUAUAAAGAAAGCAAAAGAAUAUGAAUUUUCAUUUGGUUCUCUUUAUUUCACUGAUAGAUUUAUCUUAAAGUGAUAGAUAUUUUGUUAAGAGCCCCAAAUUCAAUCAUUGAAUUUUAGUCAAAAUAGUAGAAAAUGAGCGUGGAAACAUAAUUAUCUUUCAAGGACUAAGUUGAGAUAUUUUAUUAUAGACAUUUAUGGAUAAUAUUUGCACCGAUGCAUUCAACCUUCGAAGCCGACAUGAACAAAAGUUCCAAUAAAUGAUUUAAAAUGCCUCCUCUGUGAAAUUUUGAGUGUCAGCAAAUUAAAGUGAUGUAUGCAUGGACAUAAUGGUCUAGAAUUGGAAUAACAUAUUUUUCUUUCUUCCUUAAAAGCUGGAAAUAAGAUGUUUUAAGUGAGCAAUGAUCUUGAUCAAACUUUCUUGAUCCUAUGUGCACUAUAAGAAAAAAAUGUUUUUAAGUUACAAAGGUACUACCUCAACUCACAAAUAUUAUAUCCAUUCUAUAUCUUUCUCAAUAUCAUUCCUAGUAAUGCGAGUAGAAUUAAUUUGUAAUCCUUGAAACUCCUCAUCUUAAUUAUAGCUAAACUAUGGUUAUUUCCACUUGUGAAAGUCUGAAACUGAUCAUGUCGACAUAGUGAGCUAAACUACAUUUUGAAGAAACCUAUUUAAACGGCAAGGAGAAUUUUCAUAAAGCAUUAAAUAUCACAUAAGGCAGUUAUAAGAAGUAAUAUAACAAUCUUUCUAAGAUGGCAUCGGAUAUCAUCUGUCAUCCACCGCAGCGACAUUAGAUGCAUUUCUAAGGACUUUCUUAAAUAGUUAAACUAAUUUUGGUUGAAAGAAACACAAAAAAUAUGAGUUAUUAUUAUAGCAAAAUAUAUAGUUUUUUUUUUUCCCUCAAUCCUCCCUCCCCUCUCCACACUCCUUCCCAUCCUCAAUUAUCAGCCUCAUGACUCAAACUUUGAAUUUGACACUUGCGGGAGCUCAUAGCCGCUGAACCAACAUGGCCCAGUGGGAUGAAGCUGAAAGUUCGAAUGAUGACAUUACAAUAGCACAAAAUUAUAGGGCUAGCUAUAGUAAUUAGGUGAUGUUGGUGUGUAUUUUCACACUGACCUCAUCACGGACGUGUAAAAACGGGUUCCAUGCUGGUGGACCAUGAUUUUGGUGAUUAGGUCCGACAUUAUGACGAAUUGAUUUAUGGGGUGCAUUACCACAUUUUUAGGCCUAUAAAUACAAGGAGUCUGGUUCUCGGCUAUACCAAGUUUUCGACAGUAACCAGUUACAAAUAUCAGUGUAUUAGCUAGCGAGUUCUUCAAGGAAAAGUUGGCUGGACAGGUGAAUAUUGAUUGUAUGCCUAGCUGGACCUAGAUUUCUUUCUUUUUCAAGUUUGUGUGUGGUUUUUCGGUAUCAACUCAUAAACAACUUGUAUAGGAACGCUUCAAAAAGGUUAGGGAGUUGCAAAUUAAAGCAAUUUCAACAUUCUUGAAUUGUCUUAAGAAAUAUUUUGUAUUUCUGGUUGCCUACAUGCAUAUGGGUAAGCGGUCUCUAGAAUUGUUUGAUUAAGCUUCCUGCCAGCAAUGUAGUUUCUUACUAAUUGGUUGGAUUUAGUUUUGUGGUUGGUUGUCUGAAAUAAUUCUAAUUGAUUUUGGGAACUCAAUUGUUUUGGGUUUUCUGACUGAGAAAAAAAAAUGUUCGGGGUUUACAGAUGGACCUAGUACCAGUGAACCCGGCUGAGCCUCACGUGACCGCGAUUGGACAAUUUGCAGUGGAUGAGGAAAACAAGAAGCGGCCGACUAAUAAGCUGAAUUUUGUCGCCGUGGUUGGCGGAUACCAUGGGCCCGUUACUGGAGCCACUCGCUACCCACUCAUCCUUGGAACUCAGGAUGGUAAAGGCCACACAUUUCUGCACAAAGCACUUGUCCAUGAGAAACCAGAUGGAAGCUUGGAACUCAAAGGGUACUGGGAGUAAUCAAGCGCUACCCUUGAUCAUCAACUGAGGAUCAACGACUUCAAGUACUUUAAUUAUCUAGUGUCUAUAUAUGGUGUGGUUUUCAGUUUAUGCAUGCAUGGAUGAUGUACAGCUGCCAUGCAUACAUCUUCCCACUGUUUUAUUAGUAUGUUGAAUAAGGUGCACUUGUACCAACAAAAAUGCACCAUUCCGUCUCUGUUUGAGUUUGUGUCUGUGUCUUUUGUGUCUGUGUUUGUAUCCUUGUACUGGUAUGUUAAAUAAAUAAAAACAGUCGUGAGUUUGAGUUUGUAUCCGUGUAUUUUGUUUCUUUAUUACUUGAAUGCAGGCUCCAAUCUCUCAGUUCUGUAUGUCAACUGGAUACUAUAUUCAUGACUAGUUAUAAAUUCUUAGUAGUUAAGUAUUACUUGAAAUGAACACAAACCUGAGAAAGAAAUGAAAGAUUAACUGCUAUAUUGAGAGAAAGAUAUGUAACUCUGAAAACCACAGUUCAAAGAUGAGAAAGAUAUAUUUUUCCCCCUUUUUCAUUUAUUUUUGCCAACUUGAUAGAUAGUAUUAAGAUACUAGCCAGUAGCUCCUUUAGUGCAAUAAGUAGGAGAUCCAAAAUGCGUGUUAAGGGUUCGAUUGAAAGUUCGAGAUAUGUGAUUAGCUAGUAACUAGAUUGGUGAAGAUGUGAUUGGGCAAGUUGAGUUGUGUUUUAAUAAUUGCAAAAUUUGAUGUAUUCCUCACCAAGUUAAUGUAUACAAAUAUUCACAUGCAGUAAGACCGUAAGAAUUUACAUUAUAAAAUUUUCUUUAUCAGCUAUUAAUCUUCUGCUCAUUCUGUUUCAUUAUCAGCUUUCAUCCUUCGGAGAUGCAACUAUUCAUGGGGAAGCAACUCCAAAUACAUCAUUAGUCAAUUCCUAAUACUUAUGUCCAGGCUCCAAUUCCAGGCUCAAUCACGCCAGUCCAUCUGAACCAUCAUUUUACCUCAACUUACUGCCACACAAGGGUCCUUUCUAUUUGCUUCAGUGCUAGCUUCAGUGUUUUCCCAAACCCGCCCACGAAAAAAUAACUUCAUUCCCUCCAACAGAUUUUGUAGGAGAUGGGAAAAGAGGCCAGUUCAAAAUUAUAAAUUUGCUCCCUAUUUUCUUACAAGACCAAGAAAUAUAUUUACAAAAGCUAAAAACAUAUCUACAAUUACCACUUUUACUUAUGGGGUAAAACUAAGUUACUAUUCACUUUUUUUUUUUUUAAAUGGUUAUUUUAAACUUUUGCAUUAGAUGAGAAGCGACUCAAGUAAUUGCUUAAAACGAAGAGAUUAAAGCACAAUUUACCUCUAACUUCAACAGGUAAAGGCACAAUAUAAGGAACUUUUUCGGAGCUUGCUUCUCCACAUAAAGAAGUAAAUUCUAAUUGUAUUAUCUGCAAUGCAUCGACUUACUGUAUAGUAACAAAUAUAGCUUGUUUUCUAAUGUUGAAUGUUUAGAUUUAUGAUAUGAGUGUAUACAAAUUUCCGUAAAUUUUAGUGUAAUAUAUGUUCAAAUCUAGUUCUUUUACACCUUUAUUACAUAUAAAUGUUAUGCGUAAUAGUUAAGAUCAGCAGCGUAUCUAAAAGUGUCAUGCACUUCAAAUCCAAGUCUCAAAUAAACUCUAGUGAAAAGGGUAAUGAUAUUUGCAUAUUUCUUUAUCUUCUUGCACAUAUUUUGAACAUUUGUUUGUAUCAUAUGACAAGCAUAUACAGUAGGCAAAUACACAAUGAAGACCUGCAGGCAAGCACUGUGAUGCGUGUGUGAAUAUCAAUACACUCCUAGAAAUUAAUCUUCUAUAUAUAUUACCAAACCCUCAAUAUUCAAAUAUUUUCCACAGUAGGCUAUGUCCCUCUCCCAUAAGUAUUUUGACAAAGGUGUGAUUCUUUAGCUCAGAUGUUGAUUCCGCAGUAGAAUUUUGAGAAUAUGUCCUGUAUAGGAGGCACAAUUAGCGCCAUCCAAUUGGCCCAAAACUCGGUUCAAUUAGCUAGGCCUGAUGUACAAAUUAAAGAGAAGGUAACUUUGUAGUACUAAAAUUCAUCAUUACAGAAAAAUUUGCAGGGCAUCCCUUAGGAAAAAUAAUUGUGAAAACCCAAGAGGCUCAGAUGCACAUGAGGCCAAACUUUAAAGUUCUCAAAGUUAGAGUAGAAAAAUUUGAUGGAGUUUGUGAAAAGAAUUUAUUGCAAUUUGAUUGAAACGAGUAUCUCGUUUCCAAAAAAAAAAAUAAGGCGUUUCUCAGAGCCAAGUGGUAAGAAUUUAUUGCUAGCCUUAUCUAAACUUUUGGACCAUAUACUAUCUUAGUCAAGAUGAUAAGCAAUUGGGACCCUAAUCAUAUAAGGAAAUCUAACUACAAAGCAAUUGAGACUAAUCUUUGUUCCCUUGUAGAAACUGAACAGUUGCGACUGACAAAAAAAGGAUAAAAUCCUUAUACGAACAUUCUCUAGAAGAAGAUAUAUACCACUGAAAAAUAGAAACAAAAUUGCAGCUUAUUUUCCCAACGCUCAGCAUUUUACAUCAAUUAGAAAUGGCAAACAAUAGAAAACUUGAAUGGUGACCAAAGCACGAAUAUAAUCUUUUACGAAGUGUUGGACAUGAAUAGUGACCUCGAAUAGAUGUGACACCACUACAACAAAAAUGGCCUUUAGCGACAUUUAAAGGUAUCAGUAUAGAUAAUCUAACCUGACACUUUAUCUAUCCUCACACCUAGGGCGAGUGUUGUCCCUUCCAAUGUGGGGAUAGCCUCAAAUCUUUAGCAACAUUCAAAUGUGUCAGGAAAACCAUGCUGCUAUAGCAUUCCCUCUGCCAACAAAAUUUUUUUUUUGUGAUAAUCGAAAGUGUCAGUAUACCAUUAGAACAUCAGUAGCGGAUCAAUAGGAUAUCCAAUUUAUGAAGGCAUCUUGAGUUGUCUUAAUAUAUGGCUUUAAGGACACGUAGCCAUGUGAAUUUACACUGCUUUGGACGACAUGCCCAUUUGUCAUUAGUGUUUUUCGAAGCUAAGCUAUGCUGACACUUUUAAUUGCUAGGAGUUUUUUCUCUAUUUUUUUUAUAUGGAAGCAACCUGCAAUUAGUCCUCCCCGCUGUACAUUCCAUCAACCAGAAUCCCAAGGGACUUGUAAAAUUAACCCAAAGAGCAGAAUGCAUAUAGCAAUUUAAAAGAAGAAAUCGAUACUCAAAUAUAAUUCAUUGAAUUAAAAGUCGGUAACAAGUACAAACAUAGCAAGUACUAAAAUCCCAAACAAGUACUAAAACAUUCUCAUGUACACAAACUUGAAAUACUCUCUUGUGCACAAACUAAAAGAUUCUCAUCCCUAACAAGUUGAAAGAACUAACAGUAGCUUCCAAACUUUCCAAUGAAAUGAGAGCUUUCAAUCAUAACCACGAAGUCCCCAUCAAUCUUCAGCUGGUUCCACCUGUGCACAAAGUUUGUGGGAGAUCAUUAGAUCAUCAUACUAACAAGAGCUUUCCAGAAAAGCCACUAUGUAUUUGCUAAAGAUCAAAUUAAAUUGUCGUGAUUCCAGAGGCGAAGCCAUUCAUGAUGAGACCUAAGAGCCACGAUGUAAAGAUAUGAACCCCUUUUCCACUACUCUGGGUUAGGCCACGAGCCAUGUCAUUUUGUUUGAUUCAAAGUUAGGAACCAUUCUAAGGAUUUAAAUUUGUUCAAAUUUUCUGUAUUCGACGAAAUAAUCACUUCCAGGGGGAAAUUUUGCAACCCACUCACACUUAAGAUCAAUCUGCUAUCAAUGAAAAACUAAACCUUGUAUCCACUCAGUAACAUAAAGUCAACUGCUAACAAAACUAGUUACAUGCAUUUCAUAUCGGCAAUUACAGGACAGAUCAAUGCGUAAAGUUAAAAGCUUUCAGAAUAAGUAUUAGCAACUCAAUGCCCAUAAAGCCAAUACAUAAAUGUGCAGCAGUAGCUGAUCAUGAAGCUUUAGUUGCAUUUACUUCUUAAAUAUUAGCUAGAGAAAAGAUCAUAACGUUUCCCACCUGGAAGCUUUAAUUUCAUCUAUUAGUUACCACCUCAUACUUGCCAACAACCAUAAUCACACCACUCAUCCUCUUAUACCAACCACAAAGUCCAAUAAACCCAAUCUCCUGCCCCCUGACCCUCCUCUUCCCUACCCAAAAAAAAAAAAGAAAACUUAAAAAAGAAAGAACAGAACAAGAAAUGGUUCUUGGAACAUUUACAAUUUUCACAACCCUUUCACAACAAAUACAUGGAAAACACUAAUGAACAUCAUCUGUAGGCCCAAUUGAAUCAAACAAAACUGACUACUAGUGAAAUAAGAGCCUUUAGUCAUAACCAUGAAUAUCCCAUCAAUCUUCAACUGGUUCCUCUUAUCUCACUGGAAAGGUUAAACAACAGAGAUAUCUUGGACAAAAUUUCACGAAGCACUAACAUCACAAAUGAACGAAUCCAAGUGCUCAAUGAAGAAGUUUGAAUGAUUACUUGUGAUUACUUGUUCACUGGAUUGUCACAAUUAGCACAUCUAGACUAUAUAGUAAGUAAACAUAUCAAAUACUAAUAAACAAGGAUAAGGGAGUGAUUUUCGAAUUAUAGAACUAAUUAAUAACAUUAAGAUAUUUGCUUGAGUAUUUGUUCUGUCCCCUUUAAGGCAUCCUAUGAUUAAAUCAUAGCAAUUGAAAGAACAUAGGUACAAACAAAACUCAUUACGUCAGUCAACCCAGUUAUUAAAAGAAAUUAAAAACUCCCACAAGCCUGCAGCAUUUUUGUCUAAGAAAAGCCCAUGACGUGUCUGCUUGAGAGCACAAACAGUUAAUUGGCAUUAAAGACGAAUUACCAUGGAGUAAAACUACACAGGUAUGCAGAAAACGAACUUAAAGCACAAUGGAAAAGGAAAUUGCAAAAUGCGUACCAAAGAGAGAUCAAAUUAAAGAAAAAGGCUAACAUUCAAUAGUCAGUCAUUAAAUACGUAUUGUAUAAAUAAUAUCUCACCCUUAGUUCCACACGGGAAAGAUAAGGCCUCUUCUCUGUGUCAUGAGAAAAUUGAACUUUUCCCUUUUUCUCUCCUGACUUCAUCCAUUCCUUAUUAACAUUGGGACAAAUCCACAUAUCUUCCAUGUCUUCUUUCGAAGUUCUGGAGUUCCAAGUUGUAUUCAAUGGACCUGCUGCCUCGUGUAUAAACACACAAAAUUUCUUUUUCAGUACAAAUUGGAGUGAAUUAAUAAAAGAUAGAAUGAGAUUCACAGUAGUCAUAUCAUAAAAUUCAAAAUGCUAAUUUGGUAAAAGUCAAACUAGUCAGGUUUCAAGGAUUGACCUAGAAAAAUUGGAUAUAGGUUAGACUGAUUAGGCACUAUUUGCAAGGAAUUCAUACUAAUAAAACACCAGAAAAGAUAUUUCAUUCUGGAGAAAGUGCACUUCUUCUGUCUCCUUAACUAAGGUAUCCAAAUAGAAUUACAGCUUUAUGUUUUGGUGUAAAGACAAAAUAGUUAAACCCAAAAUGUUCAAGAAACUAAGAUGAGAUAUUUCUAGGACAGAACAACUUAAUCUCAGUCCUCCACUUGUUCUAUCACUAAACCAACGACAUAACCCGAAUCAUAUUCCAACAGGGAGACUGCAUUUUUUCAUAGAUUAAUCAGAAGAUAACAAAAUUUGAAAUACAGUAAAAAACAACGGAACAUGUGUAUCUACCAACUUAUAAAGCAAUGAUCAUAAUACUUGCACAUUAAAAAAAAAUUACAAGUUUAGCUCAACUUAUCACCUUCGAGUUAACAAGGAAACAUACACUUAUCAGCAACAGAGUCUUAUGUGACUAUAUAUAUUGACACAAUUCGUUUACCCAACCUAGAUUGAUUAAAUUGACGACUAUAUGAGUUAUUUCAAGCUACAGUAGAGCAUAGCAGUAAACAUUCAUUGUUGCACAAAAUCAAAAUGAUCUCCAUGCCAAAAAUAGCAUCUUCAUCAAGUAGCCAAUCAAAUGAGACUACUAGCUUCUAAAAAGAGAUUUACCUUCUUGUAUUAUUGUCAAAGCUACAAAUUAGUGUAGUAUCAAUAUUAGAAAAUGAGUUUCUUUUCACUAAAUUUCUAUUAGUGUAUAUAUUAUUGAGUAAAUUAAUAUCAGUACCAAAAGAAAGAAGGUUGACAUUUUAUCGAACAGGUUAUGGACAACAAAUCCUUAAAGCUGAACAGGGAGAUUUAGCAAAAAACAUUAUAUCAGAUUCAACAAAAACAUUGUAUCAGAUUCAAGUAGACAACCAAUAGGAAUCAAUUUAGGGCAGGAAGAAGUAAACGAGGUAUAUCAUGGGGGUUAAAGAGAGUCCCGCACCCCUUUCACCUGGUCUUUUUGUCCUUGGAGCGGAGGUUCCUACUAUAAGACUAGAAACUGGAAAUCAAAUUGCAAAAGCUGCAAGAACUGCAUUAACUCAAGGACUCAGCUAUCCAACACUCUUGUGGCUAGGCUGGUGGGAGAUUGGGAUCUUUGUAGAAAGGCAGGUUGUCCCUAAUGCCCUCUAUCGAAUAAGGAGUAGUAGUACCCCAACCAAACAAGGGUUAGUUGUGUGGUAGCUGGAAUCUGGCUUGCUGCCAAAGGGGUUGGAUAUCGAUUGUUCCGCUGUCACCAACCUGAUUGCUCGCUGCUAGAUAUUAAUAGCCCACAAGUCUUCAUCCCCAUUUCAGUUAGGGCAGAUGGCUCCUGUGUGGGCUGUUGCUUUCGCAUGGCCUGCUUGAAACUACCCAAGUUUGCCAAGGCACGAUUGUGUGCACUUGAAUUUAGGGCCUUAGCCUCCUGGCACUCCAACUUGCAACGACGAGGGAAUUAAGAUCUUCGGCAAAAGCCUCUUUCUUGGGGUCCCAAAAAGAGAGAGCCAAGAAGCGGUGGCACUUGAAUCGCAGGUUCUGAAAACAGUGAAGGGUCUCUCGAGGAGAGGCCCAAGCAUAAUUACCGGUCUUAGCUCCUUCCUCCUCAGAUGGACAGAGCCUCCUCUUUCCUUGGGAAUUUCUUUUCUCUCUUUUUACUUUUUUCAAAGCUUUCAUGUGGUGGGUUUUGUCCCAGAUCCUCUUUCUGCAGUCCAUACCUUCAAUAGGAAAGCAAGGGUAGUUUGAUUGCGGAGAGAUUCAACAGAAAAAACUUUGUGGGCAAAGACAAAUUUUGGCCGAGAGUUUUGAGAGAUAGUUUGCCAAGAGAGAGUUUGUGGGAGAGAUGAGAAGAAUCAAAAUUUCACUUGCCGGCAAAAUGAAAGAUUUGAGAUUUCACUAAGUGUUUUGGCAGGCAAAGGAAUCCUCUACCAAAAUCAAACGACAUGGUUUUGUGUUUUAACUUUUUUGAUGUGUCUCACAUUUUCUCAAGUGUCAUGAUAGGGAGCCUAAAGAUACAUUAUUAUUUUUAUAUCAGAUAAAAUAAAAAAAAUUAAAGUAUAUAUUAUUGAAUUAAUAACAAGUGUCAUGAUAGAAGUGUUAUAAUGACACAAACCAACAAGUGUCCUUAUAGACGUGUCAGGAAAGACCAUUUUUGUUGUAGUGCACGGUAUGAAAGCGUGAUAAAUCAAAGGGUCACACAAAUACUCUUCAUAGGAAGAAUCAAAGGUGAUUCACAAUCAAUCCUAAGAGAAAUUAGGAUUCAGACUAGAACCUACACAAGAUUCAACCAGAAUCUCAUACCCAAAUAUGCAAUUGUCUUAAAAAUAUCAAUAGUAUUAUCAAUGCCUAAAUAGUAGAACCCAAAGGAUAAUUAUUUGUAGGCUACAAGUAGGCUAUACCAAAUAGAAAAAAAUACAAUUAAAAUAGAACAUUGGCUAAACUUCGCAGUGCCAAUCAACUAGGAUCCAUAGACGGAUCCGUUUCGGCUGGUUGCGAAUUCGUCUCGCCAACGUCUGCCUCGAAUUCUGCUAGACAGUCUGGCAGUGGAUUCGAGGCUUGGAUUGCAUGUGCGACCCUUUUCCUUCUUUGACCAUUCUUCUUACACCAUCUUUUAUUGACACAGAUACAAUUAAAAUAAUAGAUAAAUAAAUAAAAAUACUAAUUAAACACGAAAAUUCACCCUAACUAGGAACCCUAAAUGAAGUAUUAUUUAAAUAGACAAGGAAUACGAGAAUCUAUAGGUCCUCAUUUUGUGUUAGACUCUCCCAUGGAGAAGGUUGAUACACGAGCCAUGAGAAGUAGCCACAAUUCUUCCACGAAUCUUGUAGGGUCGAUGCUUGCAAUGGAACUGUUGUACCUAUUCAUGAACAUAAGGAACUACAUAUGAUCUUGGGACAAUUGCAAAACCAAAAAUUGCACCAUCCAACAAGGUGAGAACAAAUUUGACUAUGUAUAACUAUAACAACAUAGGGAAACGGCACAAACAAGAGGCUCAUUUGGAGCGAAUCUCCCAACUGUAUACUUAUCUUGGACACGGUGUCUACAUCCUUGUCUUACACAUGUAUACUCAUCAUGAACUCAUCUGUUGAAGUAGCCUUGUGCUUCAAGCCGAUCGAAUGCUCACAUAAGCUUGUCACAUGUCUACAUAUAGUGUUCAAUCUAAGAAUUGUUGUGAUAUGCAUUAGUGAUCGUUGCAAGAGAAGCCUGCUCUGAUACCACCUGCUGUAGUAUGCAAGCGUGCAUGAUAAAGUAAAGGGGUUACAUGAACAUCUAAGAAUCAAGGUGAACCACAAUCAACCCUAAAAGAAAAACAUCAUUCAAACUAGAACCCAAACAAGAUUCAACAAGAAUCACACACCUAGGACGCAUCCCAAGGGACAAGGUAUAACAUCCCAAACACACAAUUGUAUUAAAAUUAUCAAUAAUACUAUCAAAGUUUGAAUAAUACAAACAAAAUUUUGUUUUUCAACCCACUAUUAGUGACUCCUUUAAAUAUUAAUAAGAUUGUCAUCUAUGUACCACCCUCAGUUUUGACUUGGGCAAAAAUUGGACAAAAAUAUUGAGUUCUCGAGAACCACCUCUAAAACCAUAGUGUUACAUUAGGUGCAAACAUUUCAACCAGGUCUAUUGUGACUCUGUAAUUGCCCCAGUACUUACACACACCGGUUUACACAAAUAACCAAGAGUUCAAGAUUUAAACAUCCCCAAGUUCAAACAAAGUAAACUCCACAAUUGUAUAGUAAAAAUAAAGAUCAAGACCAACAUUAUUACAUGAUUUUGUCAAUAAUCCAAAAAGUUAUCCUUUUACAAAUGACAAAACCAAACCCCCAUCCCAAAAAAAAAAUUCCGAUAGAAAAAAGAAUAAGGGAAAAAAAUUAAGAACAUGACGUAUAGGAGGAAGUGGUCGCGCGUGUGAGUACGCAAGAUUUAGACCAAUAACCGUAUAAUAGGUACUUUGAAAAAUAUUUGAGUAGGAAACAAAAGGCUGGACGGAAUUUGGUCUUCCUUUUUUUUUUUCCUUUUGUUUUGAGUAGGAAAAUAUUUUAGAAUAUUGGAGAAGUAGGAAAUUUUUUGUUAGUAUUUGUCAGCGUAUUAUUGUGAGGCCCGUUUCCAGCUAUAAUGAGGUGACAUUUCAUUAUAGCUAUAAACAAUGAGACGUGUUCCUUGCUGGUCCAAACGUCAGAUGAUUUUGGUGCUCAGGUCCGGCGUUACCACAUUCUUAGUCUAGAUGAUAAGCAAUUGGGACCCUAAUCAUUUAAGGAAAUCUAACUACAAGGCAAUUGAAACUAAUCUUUGUUCCCUUGUAGAAACUGAACAGAUACGACUGAAAAAAAGGAUAAAAUUCUUAUACGAACAUUCUCCAGAAGAAGAUAUAUACCUCUGAAAAAUAGAAACAAAAUUGCAGCUUAUUUUCCCAAAGCUCAGCAUUUUUACAUCAAUUAAAAACAGCAAACAAUAGAAAACUUGAAUACAUUAAGCACUGAAGCUUGAGCAAAGCACAAAUAUAUUCUUUCACAAUGUGUUGGACAUGGGUGAUGCGGUAUGAAAGUGAGACAAAUAAAAGGGGUUACACGACUACUCUCAAUAGGAAGAAUCAAAGGUGAUUCACAAUCAAUCCUAAAAGAAAAUCAGGAUUCAAACUAGAACCCACAUUUGAUUCUACAAGAAGCACACACCUACGAUGCACCUCAAGGCAUAAAUGAUGAGCACCACAGGGGAAGUAGAUCAUCCCCUAGAAACGAUGAAACCAGAGCAAAACAUACAAAACGAUCCAGGUCCAGAUCAGCUGAGGUUAACCAUAACUUUGGUGAUAGGAUGGAUGAAAGUAGAGAAGAAAACUCCAAGCACAAGGAGCGGAGGAGGUCCAGGUCCUCCUCCAUUGAGGGCAAGACUCGAGAAGAGAAGUCCAAGCACAAGGAGCGGAGACGGUCCAGGUCCUCGUCCACUGAGGACAAGAUUCGGAAACGAAGUAGAUCGUCACCAAGAGUUUCAGGUGAAACCAAAUCAAAAUAUAAAAGGCGGUCCAGGUCUAGAUCUCUUGAAAAAAGACGUCACGUUGGUAGUAAAGUAGACAAAAACAGCGAAGAGAAGUCCAAGCAACACGAAAGAAGGCGGUCCCGGUCAAGGUCUACUGAAGGUAAACGGCACAAAAGUAGUGGGAUGUAGCCUAGAAGGACUGAUGAACGGAAAACAAAACAUAGCAAGCGCUCAAGGUCAAGGUCAACGGAACACAAGUAUCACUCGAGUGACAAUGGUCUACAGGAAAGUAAGCAUGAGAAUGUGAAACAUCUGAAGGAAAGACCCACCGAAUCAGAUGAUUCCUCCAUGGAACUUGGUCCUAUGGACUUAAAUGAUUCAGAAAAUGAUGAUGGCCAUAUGGAAAUCAAUAAAAGGGAUGAGCGUGACUAUGAUAGAACCGAGGCUACUCUGACAGAACUAAACCUUACCAAAGAAACGUGAACUAGUUUGAAAUGCUGUCACCAAAGGCAAUGGUAUUUAUUUAGUGUAAUGAAGGAUUGCUAAUGCAUCAAAAGCAACCUGUACUUUGAAGUAACUCGGUUUGAAGUUUAGGCUUGUGUGGAAAGGGCUGUGAAAAGAGG
rnacentral:lncRNA from 1 species